rnacentral:rRNA from 1 species
GAUACCCCACUAUGCCAUUGACGUAACCACAACUUGAUUAUUUUAUUUGUUCGCCAGAAAAUUACGGGUACUAUAUUACCUAAAACUCAAAAGACUUGACGGUGUCCCACCCUACCUAGAGGAGCCUGUUCAUAAUCGAUAUUCCACGCUCAACCUAACCACCACUAGCACCACAAACUCAGCCUAUAUACCGCCGUCAUCAGCUUACCCCUUAAAGGUCUUAUAGUAAGCAUAAUAGUAUUUAACUAAUACGUCAGGUCAAGGUGUAGCUCAUGUGGUGGCGUUAAUGGGCUACAUUAUUUAACCUAAAUAAUUACGGACUACCUCUUGAAACAGCCGUAUAAAGGUGGAUUUAGCAGUAACUUUAAGCAAGAAAACUUAAAUUAACACUCAGCCCUGGGACAUGUACACACCG